CCUACGGGGGGCAGCAGUGGGGAAUAUUGCACAAUGGGGGAAACCCUGAUGCAGCGACGCCGCGUGAGUGAAGAAGUAUUUCGGUAUGUAAAGCUCUAUCAGCAGGGAAGAAAAUGACGGUACCUGAUUAAGAAGCCCCGGCUAAAUACGUGACAGCAGCCGCGGUAAUACGUAGGGGGCAAGCGUUAUCCGGAUUUACUGGGUGUAAAGGGAGCGUAGACGGUGAUGCAAGUCAGAAGUGAAAGCCCGGGGCUCAACUCCGGGAGUGCAUUUGAAACUGGCAUGCUGGAGUGCCGGAGAGGUAAGCGGAAUUCGUAGUGUAGCGGUGAAAUGCGUAGAUAUUAGGAGGAACACCAGUUGCGGAGGCGGCUUACUGGACGGUAACUGACGCUGAGGCUCGAAAGCGUGGGGAGCAAACAGGAUUAGAUACCCCAGUAGUC
rnacentral:rRNA from 1 species